UAACAUUACAAAAGCUGCCCCUCUUCCUAG
rnacentral:piRNA from 1 species